AGUGAACGCUGGCGGCGUGCUUAACACAUGCAAGUCGAACGGUAACGCGGGGCAACCUGGCGACGAGUGGCGAACGGGUGAGUAAUGCAUCGGAACGUGCCCAGUAGUGGGGGAUAGCCCGGCGAAAGCCGGAUUAAUACCGCAUACGACCUAUGGGUGAAAGCGGGGGAUCGCAAGACCUCACGCUAUUGGAGCGGCCGAUGUCAGAUUAGGUUGUUGGUGGGGUAAAGGCCUACCAAGCCGACGAUCUGUAGCUGGUCUGAGAGGACGACCAGCCACACUGGGACUGAGACACGGCCCAGACUCCUACGGGAGGCAGCAGUGGGGAAUUUUGGACAAUGGGGGCAACCCUGAUCCAGCCAUGCCGCGUGCGGGAAGAAGGCCUUCGGGUUGUAAACCGCUUUUGUCAGGGAAGAAACGCUCUGGGCUAAUACCCCGGGGUAAUGACGGUACCUGAAGAAUAAGCACCGGCUAACUACGUGCCAGCCGCCGCAGUAA
rnacentral:rRNA from 1 species